GCCUCCUAAAAGGUAACGGAGGCGCUCAAAGGUUCCCUCAGAAUGGUUGGAAAUCAUUCAUAGAGUGUAAAGGCAUAAGGGAGCUUGACUGCGAGACCUACAAGUCGAGCAGGGUCGAAAGACGGACUUAGUGAUCCGGUGGUUCCGCAUGGAAGGGCCAUCGCUCAACGGAUAAAAGCUACCCCGGGGAUAACAGGCUUAUCUCCCCCAAGAGUUCACAUCGACGGGGAGGUUUGGCACCUCGAUGUCGGCUCAUCGCAUCCUGGGGCUGUAGUCGGUCCCAAGGGUUGGGCUGUUCGCCCAUUAAAGCGGUACGCGAGCUGGGUUCAGAACGUCGUGAGACAGUUCGGUCCCUAUCCGUCGUGGGCGUAGGAAAUUUGAGAGGAGCUGUCCUUAGUACGAGAGGACCGGGAUGGACAUACCUCUGGUGUACCAGUUGUCGUGCCAACGGCAUAGCUGGGUAGCUAUGUGUGGACGGGAUAAGUGCUGAAAGCAUCUAAGCAUGAAGCCCCCCUCAAGAUGAGAUUUCCCAACUUCGGUUAUAAGAUCCCU
rnacentral:rRNA from 1 species